rnacentral:rRNA from 1 species
CAGCCGCCGCGGUAAUACGAAGGGUGCAAGCGUUAAUCGGAAUUACUGGGCGUAAAGCGUGCGUAGGCGGUGAGUUGAGUCUGCUGUGAAAUCCCCGGGCUCAACCUGGGAAUGGCAGUGGAUACUGGCUCGCUAGAGUGUGUCAGAGGAUGGUGGAAUUCCCGGUGUAGCGGUGAAAUGCGUAGAGAUCGGGAGGAACAUCAGUGGCGAAGGCGGCCAUCUGGGACAACACUGACGCUGAGGCACGAAAGCGUGGGGAGCAAACAGGAUUAGAUACCCCCGUAGUCCCUGUCUCUUAUAC